UUGAAAUUAAUUAAGAUAAACAAGUUUCUUCCCCAUAAGGACCUGGUGUGCAAUAGUGGCAAACACCAUUCUCCUGGGUAGUGUUUGAAGCCAGUUGCCUAUAUGAGUUGCCCUAUGGGACCUUGGAGAGAAUU